UACGGGGGGAGCAAGCGUUGUUCGGAUUUACUGGGCGUAAAGGGCGCGUAGGCGGCGCAACAAGUCACUUGUGAAAUCUCCGGGCUUAACCCGGAGCGGUCAAGUGAUACUGCGGGGCUAGAGUGCGGGAAGGGGCAACUGGAAUUCUUGGUGUAGCGGUGAAAUGCGUAGAUAUCUGGAGGAACACCGGUGGCGAAGGCGGCAUCCUGGACCGGCAUUGACGCUGAGGCGCGAAAGCUAGGGGAGCAAACGGGG
rnacentral:rRNA from 1 species